GCAUUAUUUUCUUUAAAAAUCAGUGUUCACCUGCCCAUCCUCCUGAGUCUCUCAUAGUGCCCAUGCCAGAGCUAGCUAUGGCCUUGAACUAUUGCCUGCCCUCUACCCCUAGGCUACAGGCAUUGAAACAGGUUACACAAUG
rnacentral:snoRNA from 1 species